AUCAUGAAUGGUGGUGGAGGUACACAAACACAAGUUUUCCUUUUUCUGUUUUCAUCCCUUGCUGUUGGCAUUUUGCAUCAUAACUAAAUAUCUUCUUCUUCUUCUUCUUUGCUGGUGCUAAUAUAGCUGGCCUACUGCUGUUCACUAAAAAGAACAUUCUGCAUCUUCUCAUAUAUCGUCACUUAUUGUGGUUCAGUUCUGAAGUAUUAAUUAGAGAUGUUUGAACUUAAUCAGCUGUUUGCUUAAACAUUGUUGAGUUUAAUGGAUCUUUUCUUGUAUCAAAAUUUGCUAAUUAGAAAUAUUAAUGUUUAGUACUGAUAACAUAUGGAUAAGUUAAAGUUGUCUCAUUGUCAAACAAGAUAGUUCUGUUGACUUAAUAUUUCGCGAAAGAAAAACUUUGAUACUGUGUCUGCAUGGAGAAUUUGAAAUUUAAUUUCUAGUUCAAACUUCAUAAAUAAAGAUUUGAACUCCAAAAGGAGGGAAGCUCCAAUGAAUUCUUAGGCUUUAUUUGGAAAUUACACUUUUUAAUAGGCAUCUCAAAUUCAUCUUAAAAUAACUUUUCAUCCACAUUUGGUGCAUUGGCUUGUUAAUUGGGCCAUCUCUUGGCCUCCUGUGUUUCUUAAUCUAUUUGCAAUGCUUUUAGAUUAAUAUUAUUCGAUUAGACUGUCACUUACUGGCAAAAGGAAAAAUUCAAUAUUUAGACAAUCGUGUGCUUGAUUAUCGGAUUAUAAUGUCAAAAUAUCUAUUAUGUGCUUAUUUUAGCUUGACUAUCAUUUUCCUAUAUAAUUUUGAGUUGAAAGGUUUUCAUUGUUGUUUUCUAUUAAAGCUGGAAAUUCUCAAGUAGUAUCUUAUGCAUUCCGCGUUUUUGGACUGAACUCAGUUUUGAUGGUCACAGGUCUUUUCUAUGUGGUGGAUCGACUGGGCUUUUUAUCUAUGCUUAUUGCUUGUAC
rnacentral:misc_RNA from 1 species